CAUUUUCACGAGUACAUUGAGGCAUUUAAAUUCAAAAGAUGUUUCAAAAGCUUAGAAGAGAAGGUGGUUGGUAAAGGUGAAUUCACGGAGCACAUACUCGCGAACGCCAAGCAACCGACUCUGGAUAUCUUGGAAGGGAAUGCCUACUGAAGACUAUCUGCGAGAACUCGGAAUAUCCUUUGAGACAUAAUGGUGUCAUCGGUGAUAUCUUCCACGUCCUAUUCACUCCUACGACUUCGCGAC